UACGAAGGGAGCUAGCGUUGUUCGGAAUCACUGGGCGUAAAGCGCACGUAGGCGGAUGUGUCAGUCAGGGGUGAAAUCCCGGAGCUCAACUUCGGAACUGCCCUUGAUACAGCACGUCUUGAGUCCGGAAGAGGUGGGUGGAAUUCCUAGUGUAGAGGUGAAAUUCGUAGAUAUUAGGAAGAACACCGGUGGCGAAGGCGGCCCACUGGUCCGGUACUGACGCUGAGGUGCGAAAGCGUGGGGAGCAAACGGG
rnacentral:rRNA from 1 species